UUUUUUGAAGUAAAUAUCAUGAUCUAUUUCUGGAAUUCUG
rnacentral:sRNA from 1 species